CAGAAUCGCAAGCAGCCUCUCCUAGCUCUGUCGUGGGAUCACAGAACCUCCAGUGCUCUGCCCCUGGCUUAAUCUUGUCCUCAGCACAGUUCUGGACACAGACAUGGACACUCCCAUUUUACUGAAGGAAACCAGCCCAGGCUCACACAGCUGGAGUCCUCAGGAGAUCCCUAUUGAGUCAGCUGGAUUUCUUCUCUGACGACCACCCUCUCCCCCCGUUCACCUCUCCCUUAAUGAAGUUGAUACCAAGGGAGUGAAAUCAAAGUCCGAAAAACAGCCUCUGCAGAAAGAAAAUGCUCAGCUUAAGAUCCAAAAGAAUCAGGAAGCUGGGACUGAAAGAAUGGGAGCAGUGGAAGGGGAGAAGCAGCUGUCAGCCACAGAGGAGAAAGUGAAAUUAGCUGCAGAAGAGCUUCGGAACUACAAGUGAGUUCAGCUCCUACCAGCAGCUCUCACGACAGCCAUUUUAUUACUUUGAAACUUUGUACAGUGUUUAGAGCCAAGUAGCACACACAUACACACAAACAUUCAGGAGACAUUCAUUUUUAUAGAGACUUCAAGAGAGAUGUGACAUUUUCCA
rnacentral:lncRNA from 1 species